CCCGCUGAACUUAAGCAUAUCAAUAAGCGGAGGAAAAGAAACUAACAAGGAUUCCCCUAGUAACUGCGAGUGAAGCGGGAAAAGCUCAAAUUUAAAAUCUGGCGGUCCUUGGGGUUGUCCAAGUGGUAAUCGUAGAGAAGGGCGAUCCGCGCUGGACCGGGUCCAAGUUUCCGGGAAGGGAGCGCCCUAAAGGGGGAGAAUCCGGCCUUUGACACGAACGGCCAGGGCUUAGGGGAUAGGCUCUCGAAAAGCCAAGUGGUUGGGAAAUGCAGCUCAAAAGGGGGGGAAAAGUCCAUCUAAGGCUAAUUAUUGGCAAGAGGAGAAUAGCGAACAAGUCAAGUGAGGAAAAGAUGAAAAGAACUUUGGAAAGAGAGUUAACCAGUACGUGAAAUUGUUGAAAGGAAACGCUGGAGGCCGGCCCCGUCACCCGGAGAUCAACUCAGCAUCUGUUUUUCCGGGGGUACUUUUCGGUCGACGGGUCAGCAUCAAUUUUGACCGAUGGAAAAAGGCUUCGGGAAUGUAGCAUCCUUUGAUAUGUUAUAUACCGUGGUCACACACACCGGUUUGGAGAGAGGAGAACACCACACCGAAACACCCCGUUUUUAAACCACGUUCGUGCUUAGGAUGCUGGCAUAAUGGCUUUAAUCGACCCGUCUUGAAACACGG
rnacentral:rRNA from 1 species